CUGACACAGGGAGGUAGUGACAAAAAAUAACUUAGUCGGGCCGUUUUCGGUCUGACUUUAGGAAUGAGAACAAUUUAAAUCCCUUAUCGAGGAUCAAUUGGAGGGCAAGUCUGGUGCCAGCAGCCGCGGUAAUUCCAGCUCCAAUAGCGUAUAUUAAUGUUGUUGCAGUUAAAAAGCUCGUAGUUGGAUUUCUGGUCGGAACGCCUGGCCGGCUCCGCAAGGGGUCGUUGCUUUGGUUUCUCCGUCCAUCCUCAGGGGGAGCUGCGCUGGUAUUCAUUUAUCGGCGUGGUCACGCCUGUCGUUUACUGUGAACAAAUUAGAGUGUUCAAAGCAAGGUGUACUUGAAUACAUUAGCAUGGAAUAAUAAGAUAGGAC
rnacentral:rRNA from 1 species